AAGGCUGCCGGCUUACCUUUCAAAUUGAUGAACAGCAACAAAGGCCGCCCCGGGGACAAAAGAAAACCGAGCAUAGAAAAGCGACUUUCAAAGUUUCCAACGCGACAAGGAUCUGAAGGCAAGAAAUGCCGAACAGUUGGUGACAACAAAACGGGCCAACAAUAAAAACGAGUCCAGCCAAGAGAAACCCUAAAAAGAUUUUUCUCUUUUUAUGAGAUUCCCUUCCCCAAUACCAGAUGCCCCUCCAUCCGUCUUCAUACUUUUUUUCCACAGUGCGAUACGCUGGCCCGUCUCCAAGCAAACUCGAGUCUGGAGCCUCCAACCUCGAGUCUCCAGCUCUAAGUGCCACUAAAGGACGACGUCGAGGAGGAGGACGACGAGCAUCAGGUCUCAGCCCUCAUCAGCAUCAGCAUCAAAACUCAAACUGAAACUCUGAAACUCAGAAACUGGGAUGAAAACGGCAACACAUACAACAGUUUUACGAGCUAACGAAAGUGGUUCUGGCCGCCAGCCGAAGGAGAGGCCCGCAGAUAAUGCCCCCGACAUAUUUGGGGUUUUUACGAUCUCGCGCGGACGUCGCCGCCUUUGA